UGAUCGUUGCCUCGUAGCUUCUCUUCGCUAGGGCAUCUUCCGUCGCAAGGCGAAGCUUUUCCUUGAAAGGGCUUCUGCUCUUCGCAGUUCAAGGUUAGGGUUUUCCUCGAGAAAUCCUUAUCGCUUGAGAUUAGUUCAUUCUGAGAUUUCAGCUGGGAGAUGGCGUUGACCAACUUCAUUGUGACGGUGGUGGGCGUCGGCGCCGCCAUCCUUCUUUUCCGCACGGAUGCUAGGCAGUCUGCCGCCAUCUUCCGCCGCAACCUCCGCCAGAUCCGAAAUUGGCUCGAAGAAGAAACCGCCUCCACUGCCAAGACCAUGGAGCGAUCAUCCGCCAAGGAGUUGGAUUCUCAGAUUCCUAAAAAAGAAACUCCGAAGGAUGAGAAGCAUUAGAAUAUCAUUUUCUUUUGACGAUUGUUUAGAAAUCAGGCAUAAGCCAACAUAUGUACAUGUUUGUGUUGUUUGAAUCUUGGUCAUACAAAUAAUGUUUUUCAUGAAAAAUCAAAUAUUUUCUUGCUAGUGUUGGCAACCAGCUAGCUCACUGUAACUUGACUGCCUCAGUAUGGGGAUGUUACUUCCAAGUAUCAAUUCAUUCUUCUUCCAGGUGCAUAGACAGAAAUACCUAUUGAAGAAUUCAAAGGUGUAUUGUAAUUGUACAAUCAGUCAGCAUCCACCCAAACCAGAGCGAUCAUACUAUCAGUCAGCAUGCUGUCAUCUCUGAGGGCAUUCGGCGGUGAGUGUCAACUUCCUGCUUUAUUGUUUAAGAGCAUGGUUGAAAGUUCUUUUAUUUAAUAAUUAUGAGCAGAAUGUUGAUUAAAAUUUGUUAUCGCGUUAUUGUUCAAGAUGUUUUAGUUUUG